UACAGGGGGGGCAAGCGUUGUUCGGAAUUACUGGGCGUAAAGGGCCAGUAGGCGGCCAACUAAGUCCGACGUGAAAUCCCAAAGCUUAACUUUGGAACUGCGUCGGAUACUGGAUGGCUUGAAUUCGGGAGAGGAAUGCGGAAUUCCAGGUGUAGCGGUGAAAUGCGUAGAUAUCCGGAGGAACACCGGUGGCGAAGGCGGCUUCCUGGACCGACACUGACGCUGAGGCGCGAAAGCUAGGGGAGCAAACGGG
rnacentral:rRNA from 1 species